UAGCUUUUACCUUGGGAUCUACAACAUCAUUUCUAUUCAGCAUUGGUUUUCUCUUAGGAUGUGGAGAGGAUCCAGAGGAUUGUCCUUUGGAUGGAUUCGAAAAUUUGGGAGUGAUGGGAACCAAUUUGGUUUUUGAAAGAACUAUGGAGUCUGAUUCACAUGAAUUAGAGGACAUGGGAACAAAGGAGUUUUGGUUAUGAGUGAAGACACGAGGAUUCCGGAGUGAACUUGGUUUGGAAUUAGCAAGGAAUCGGGAAUCUUGUCUAGUUUUGACUUCCUUUUUGAAAGCAUUUAUAGCUUCUACUUUUUUUUUUGGUGAGAUUUCUUGGGUGCUUUGGAAAAAGAUAGAAUGCUAAAGUCUUUUCAUCUAUCCAGUAGUCAUAUUCAACUAUUUGUGGGUUAGAAACUGACUUCUUCUGACCUUUGGUAUCCAAAGAGUGGACACAUUUUGUUAUCUCCGAGACAGUUGCUUUGUUAACGGAUUUUUUGAUUUUCCACACAAGAUUUUUAUUUGAAGAUUCUGAAACAGUGAUUUUUGGACUUCUGAAUAUGUUUGAUAGCACAUUGUUCUUUGAAAUUCUUGGUUUAAAAAUUAUGUCAUCAGAUUUUGCAAUAAAGACAGAUGAUACAUUUUGAGUUGGUGGUGAGGUAUUUCAGAUGGUUUUGACAUUGACAUUAACAUGAGUUUGAGGGAAUUUGGAGCUAAAGACUUCUUUUGGUUCUGAAUGAACAGAAGGUUUGGAAGGUCUCUUCAGGAUUUUGGUAGGAACAAAGGAGUUUUGAUUAUGAGUGAAGACACGAGGAUUCCGGAGUGAACUUGGUUUGGAAUUAGCAAGGAAUCGGGAAUCUUGUCUAGUUUUGACUUCCUUUUUGAAAGCAUUUCAAGCUUCUACUUGUUUUUUGGUGAGAUUUCUUGGGUGCUUUGGAAAAAGAUAGAAUGCUAAAGUUUUUUCAUCUAUCCAGUAGUCAUGUUCAACUAUUUGUGGGUUAGAAACUGACUUCUUCUGACCUUUGGUAUCCAAAGAGUGGACACAUUUUGUUAUCUCCGAGACAGUUGCUUUGUUAACGGAUUUUUUGAUUUUCCACACAAGAUUUUUAUUUGAAGAUUUUGAAACAGUGACUUUUGAAAUUCUGAAUAUGUUUGAUAACACAUUGUUCUUUGAAAUUCUUGGUUUAAAAAUUAUGUCAUCAGAUUUUGCAAUAAAGACAGAUGAUACAUUUUGAGUUGGUGGUGAGGUAUUUCAGAUGGUUUUGACAUUGACAUUAACAUGAGUUUGAGGGAAUUUGGAGCUAAAGACUUCUUUUGGUUCUGAAUGAAUAGAAGGUUCGGAAGGUCUCUUCAGGAUUUUGGUAGGAACAAAGGAGUUUUGAUUAUGAGUAAAGACACGAGGAUUCCGGAGUGAACUUGGUUUGGAAUUAGCAAGGAAUCUGGAAUCUUUUCUAGUUUUGACUUCCUUUUUGUAAGCAUUUCUAGCUUUUACCUUGGGAUCUACAACAUCAUUUCUAUUCAGCAUUGGUUUUCUCUUAGGAUGUGGAGAGGAUCCAGAGGAUUGUCCUUUGGAUGGAUUCGAAAAUAUGGGAGUGAUGGGGACCAAUUUGGUUUUUGAAAGAACUAUGGAGUCUGAUUCACAUGAAUUAGAGGACAUGGGAACAAAGGAGUUUUGGUUAUGAGUGAAGACACGAGGAUUCCGGAGUGAACUUGGUUUGGAAUUAGCAAGGAAUCGGGAAUCUUGUCUAGUUUUGACUUCCUUUUUGAAAGCAUUUAUAGCUUCUACUUGUUUUUUUGGUGAGAUUUCUUGGGUGCUUUGGAAAAAGAUAGAAUGCUAAAGUUUUUUCAUCUAUCCAGUAGUCAUGUUCAACUAUUUGUGGGUUAGAAACUGACUUCUUCUGACCUUUGGUAUCCAAAGAGUGGACACAUUUUGUUAUCUCCGAGACAGUUGCUUUGUUAACGGAUUUUUUGAUUUUCCACACAAGAUUUUUAUUUGAAGAUUCUGAAACAGUGAUUUUUGGACUUCUGAAUAUGUUUGAUAGCACAUUGUUCUUUGAAAUUCUUGGUUUAAAAAUUAUGUCAUCAGAUUUUGCAAUAAAGACAGAUGAUACAUUUUGAGUUGGUGGUGAGGUAUUUCAGAUGGUUUUGACAUUGACAUUAACAUGAGUUUGAGGGAAUUUGGAGCUAAAGACUUCUUUUGGUUCUGAAUGAAUAGAAGGUUCGGAAGGUCUCUUCAGGAUUUUGGUAGGAACAAAGGAGUUUUGAUUAUGAGUAAAGACACGAGGAUUCCGGAGUGAACUUGGUUUGGAAUUAGCAAGGAAUCUGGAAUCUUUUCUAGUUUUGACUUCCUUUUUGUAAGCAUUUCUAGCUUUUACCUUGGGAUCUACAACAUCAUUUCUAUUCAGCAUUGGUUUUCUCUUAGGAUGUGGAGAGGAUCCAGAGGAUUGUCCUUUGGAUGGAUUCGAAAAUUUGGGAGUGAUGGGAACCAAUUUGGUUUUUGAAAGAACUAUGGAGUCUGAUUCACAUGAAUUAGAGGACAUGGGAACAAAGGAGUUUUGGUUAUGAGUGAAGACACGAGGAUUCCGGAGUGAACUUGGUUUGGAAUUAGCAAGGAAUCGGGAAUCUUGUCUAGUUUUGACUUCCUUUUUGAAAGCAUUUAUAGCUUCUACUUGUUUUUUUGGUGAGAUUUCUUGGGUGCUUUGGAAAAAGAUAGAAUGCUAAAGUUUUUUCAUCUAUCCAGUAGUCAUGUUCAACUAUUUGUGGGUUAGAAACUGACUUCUUCUGACCUUUGGUAUCCAAAGAGUGGACACAUUUUGUUAUCUCCGAGACAGUUGCUUUGUUAACG
rnacentral:lncRNA from 1 species